AGCAUAUUUAUUUUUAAGAUAUUCUUAACUGUUGAUAAAUAAGGUAGCCUUAUAUAUCAACAGUUAAGAAUAUCUUAAAAAUAAAUAUGCUUAUUUCUUA
rnacentral:miRNA from 1 species